rnacentral:rRNA from 1 species
GUGCCAGCCGCCGCGGUAAUACGGAGGGGGCUAGCGUUGUUCGGAAUUACUGGGCGUAAAGCGUACGUAGGCGGCUUUGUAAGUUAGAGGUGAAAGCCUGGUGCUCAACACCAGAACUGCCUUUAAGACUGCAUCGCUUGAAUCGCGGAGAGGUGAGUGGAAUUCCGAGUGUAGAGGUGAAAUUCGUAGAUAUUCGGAAGAACACCAGUGGCGAAGGCGGCUCACUGGACGCGUAUUGACGCUGAGGUACGAAAGCGUGGGGAGCAAACAGGAUUAGAAACCCUAGUAGUCC